AUUGAACGCUGGCGGCGUGCUUAACACAUGCAAGUCGAACGAUGAAGCCGGAGCUUGCUCCGGUGGAUUAGUGGCGAACGGGUGAGUAACACGUGAGCAAUCUGCCCUUGACUCUGGGAUAACUGCGGGAAACUGUAGCUAAUACCGGAUACGACACCUUGGGGCAUCCCAGGGUGUGGAAAGAAUUUCGGUCAAGGAUGAGCUCGCGGCCUAUCAGCUAGUUGGUGAGGUAAUGGCUCACCAAGGCGACGACGGGUAGCCGGCCUGAGAGGGUGACCGGCCACACUGGAACUGAGACACGGUCCAGACUCCUACGGGAGGCAGCAGUGGGGAAUAUUGCACAAUGGGCGAAAGCCUGAUGCAGCAACGCCGCGUGAGGGAUGAAGGCCUUCGGGUUGUAAACCUCUUUUAGCAGGGAAGAAGCGAAGGUGACGGUACCUGCAGAAAAAGCACCGGCUAACUACGUGCCAGCCGCCGCGGUAA
rnacentral:rRNA from 1 species